rnacentral:rRNA from 1 species
CUACGGAGGGUGCAAGCGUUAUUCGGAAUCACUGGGCGUAAAGGGUGCGUAGGCGGUUUGAUAAGUCUGAUGUGAAAUCCUAUGGCUCAACCAUAGAACUGCAUUGGAAACUGUCAGACUAGAAUACUGAAGGGGCAGAUGGAAUUAGUGGUGUAGGGGUAAAAUCCGUAGAUAUCACCAGGAAUACCGAAAGCGAAAGCGAUCUGCUGGGAAGUUAUUGACGCUGAGGCACGAAAGCGUGGGGAGCAAACGGGAUUAGAUACCCUUGUAGUCC